ACUCGAGUAGGGAGUCUGGCCUAGUGAAAGUCUCUGUUUCCUCCUUUUCUUACUUUUCACUCAAUAAAACCCUGCUUUACACACCCUUCAAACCAUCUGUGAGCCUGAAUUUUUACGGCCAUGGGACAGACAAGGAUCCUGUCUUUAUCUAAACUAAGGAAAAGUCCUGCAACAUUUGUGGUGCACAACGUGGGGCUCGAGAAGUGAUCAUCCAAAGUCCAGCUACCACAAUAUGUCUGGAUUGAAUCUUAAGGAUUCUUCCUGUUAUUCAUAUCACUAAAUAGCUAGAAAUGCCAGAAACAGACAUGACAUAUCAUGGAUUCCAGGAAAACGCCUAUUUUGGAGUGAAACCAGGGCCGCCUUAUGAGCUAAACAGAGUGUGUUACAGCUUCAAUAGACUAAACAAGCUCUAAAUUUAUCUUCCUAUGGUCACGGGAUCUCAUAUAUUCUGGCUGUCAUUGUCAUAAUAAGCCACUCUUGGUCAUAUGGAAAAGCAUUCAGCUGCUCCCUGCCUUUGCUCACAGCGUGUGGUACUCUCUUAGAAGCUAUUCCUGUCCUAUUUAGGCAGUUAUUCCUGCUUCUUGUGUUGGACCUGAAGUCAACAGGGCCAGCAAUAGAGAAGAAAGAUGAUGUGAAGGAGAGCAACUGAAAUGGGAGAGUUCUCUGACCCACUCGUGGAACCUGCUUGGGCUGCCAUGUGCUCAAACCCUUUAUGGAGGGGAGAUGCAGACAGGUUCAUUGGUAAUUUGCUAAAAGAAUGCCAGUGGGAACAGAACAGAAGCAUUUUCAAGAUUAAAUUGGCAAUGGUUGUGACUGAUUGGAUGAAGGAAGUAAGGGGGAGAGAUUCAUCAGAGAAAGAAGGCUUCUUUAAGCAGCAGAAUUGAGGAAUGAGUCAGAAAAUAAAAGAGCAAACAGGUUUUUGUUGUUUUAUUUAAUUUUGGUCAACCUACUUGUAUUGGCUUUCAUAGCAUAAAGAAAAUAUUUUACUUUGAACAAGCAUAAAACAAAAACACAUCUUUCAUACAAUACAAUGCAAUCGAUGGCUUUUCCCCAAUGAUUUAUGGAAAUAGCUCUAAAGGAGAGAGAUGAUUUUGUUGCCAGGUCUCCUCAGAUAUCAUCAGUAUUUUUAAUCUCUCAUG
ensembl:lncRNA LINC02008 long intergenic non-protein coding RNA 2008